rnacentral:rRNA from 1 species
GACGAACGCUGGCGGCGUGCCUAAUACAUGCAAGUCGAGCGCAGGAAACUGACGGAACUCUUCGGAGGGAAGGCAGUGGAAUGAGCGGCGGACGGGUGAGUAACACGUAAGGAACCUGCCUCAAGGAUUGGGAUAACUCCGCGAAAUCGGAGCUAAUACCGGAUAGUUCAACGGAUCGCAUGGUCCGCUGAUGAAAGGCGCUCCGGCGUCACCUUGAGAUGGCCUUGCGGUGCAUUAGCUAGUUGGUGGGGUAACGGCUCACCAAGGCGACGAUGCAUAGCCGACCUGAGAGGGUGAUCGGCCACACUGGGACUGAGACACGGCCCAGACUCCUACGGGAGGCAGCAGUAGGGAAUCUUCCACAAUGGACGAAAGUCUGAUGGAGCAACGCCGCGUGAGUGUUGAAGGUUUUCGGAUCGUAAAACUCUGUUGUAAGGGAAGAACACGUACGAGAGGAAAUGCUCGUACCUUGACGGUACCUUACGAGAAAGCCACGGCUAACUACGUGCCAGCCGCCGCCGUAAAAC